ensembl:lncRNA
UCGAAAUUCAAUUAUAUCUUAUGGAUGAAAUAUAAUAUUUAUUUCAGUUCAAUUGGUCAGUGAAGGGCAAUGAGGAAAUCCAGAAGGUGCUUGGAAGUAGCAUGUUUGUGAAAUCCUUUGCUUGAUUCCAUGACAUGUUUCCAACUGCAGUUAGGUAGCCCUGCAACCUAGGUGUUCUAUUGACCUUAUUCACUGCGCCUCCAUCUUGAAAUCCAAAACGAGGCUAGGGGGUACACUCUAAACCGGAAGUUCAUUGACAGAGUGCAGCAGCGGGCGUCUGUCAUCAUUGCGAUACCUGUGUGGACAUCAAAUCUUUCAUGUCUUCCCGAAAUAACAGUGGACUAUGUCGAAAAAUGGGCCAAUAAGGACUGCAUGAUUCCCCGGGCUGUUUUGCUGAAAGGAUACAGCAACUGGAUCGAGGGAUAUGUGCACGACGUGGAAGGUAAUGCACGGACGAUCACAGCUUUUUUUCUGAAAUCAACAUUAGUUAACGUUACUUUAAAAGUUAGCUUGUUAGCUAGAUAAAACAACAGGAUGUGACAACAUUACAAGCUGAUGCUAAGCAUUGUUAAGAUAUAUUAACCACACCAGACUGACUGUUAUUUUGAGUGUUAACAAUAAAUGAUUUUACCAACAGUCAAGAGGAGCGAGACAGUCAGUGUGAAAGCUAAGUCUUUUCGUUCAAUGCGAAAAAACGAGGCACCUUACAACAUUCAGAAACUGCUGCCAAUAGAUGAGCUGUUCCUUUUCUUGAUGGCCGAUACACCAACCCCUAAGUAAUCGCUGACUGCACAGAACUUAGAUGUCAGACACCCUCUUCCCUCCUGCUGCAGAAUGAGGUUUUCUCAACCUACAAGUCACACAGCACCUUCAAGGCCAUGGUUGGCAUGUCCCCUCACGGAGCCCUUACAUUUGUAUCUACCCUCUUUGAAGGCUCCAUGAGUGACAAGGAAGUGUUUCGCCAGUCACAAAUUACAUCUCUUUUAAGCCCCCGAGAUGGCCAUUAUGGUUGACAAAGGAUUCCUGGUGGAUGACCUGGUACCUGGGACUGUUUAUCAUGUAGCUUUUGUCACUCAGAGGGCUCAGAUGCCAGAGGAGAAUGUCUUACAGACCCAACCCAUAGCUCGGCUGAGGGUGCAUGUAGAAAGGAUGAUUAGAAGAGUCAAAGAGAACAAACUGUUUGACACCACCAUCCCCCUCUCCAUAACUGGGAGCAUUAAUCAAAUAUUUACUAAAUGAAAUGACAACUGGAUACGUUUGAUAGCAAGGAAACUGCAUUUCCAGCUGUAUUUGUGUGCAUGUCGGGUUGUCAGAGGAUUGACUAAACUCAAGUAACGUUAUGUAGUCCAUGGUUACGCCGCUGUAUUGUAUUCAUUACGAAAUCCUGCACCAUGCUUGUAAAAUAAACAAGACCAAUGUCCUUUAAUAAGUGCAGCAAAAUCUGUUUGGGUCGACACUGUCUUCAUCAACUUAAACUAGCAUGCUGUUGUAAUAUGUCUGACUAAUGAUAUAGAAGGUAGGGCGGGACUCAAGGUCAAACUACCUUUCUUGCUCGAACUUCCAACAUUGAUGUUUACAACAGUGUAACAGAAUUUGUUUACGUUAGACAGGCUGAAAGGAAGACGGGGCAGUUUAUUACAAACCCAAAACUUGUACUAUUAAUGCUUAUUUAAAGUAACAAACAGUGAACUUACAGGUCUUUCAUACAUUUUUCAUUAUUUUAUGUUUUAUUUUAUAUUUUGUGUGAGAAUAAAAAAAAAAGACAAGAACGUAACAAUGAAUUGCUGUUAUUUAUUGUAUGGGACAGACACUUUACAUGCAUUUUGCCAUAUAAACAUAGAAAUAAAAACAGUCAAUUUUUUCUCUGAUGACUUUGCAUACAUCAUUGUCCCUGUAAAUCUGCUGAAUCAGCAGGUCAUCUUCAACCGAAAUGACAAAAUCACACCAUGUCAAACCGGUAAUGAGCAUCUGACCCUGUACCUGCCAGUAAUAUGCAUGUGAUUUCUUUAGUUCCACAUUGCCAGAUUAAAUUUUAAGGUACAGUCCACAUAACUUUUUAGGUUGGGGCAUUUCAUUUCUAUAAGCCCAAAAUGAACUGACUCUGAAGGAUCAAAAACAAGUCCGUCUGGAGACGCCCACAACCAGGGAGCAUCAGGGUGGAUUACAAAUCCACAGGGGUAAUGAUUGACGCGUUUUAUUGGGCAGUAUUCCCAAAUUGCAUCUAGAUGGUAUCCCUGAAGGGGUAGAGAGGGCCAUGGUGGGGCAACAUGAAAGGAGUGGUCUCUCCUUGUUGCUGCUGGCUGCUGAUAAGACAGUGGGCUUCCACUUUGGACCAUCCUGAGGCUUGAGUUGGUGAGAAGGACGUCACCGCUGAUGGCCAUACUGCAGAUUAUUGGUUAAUCAGCCGGGGGGAACUCUUUGUAGGCCUCGGUCACCUGGAGAUGGACUAGUAUUUUAACAAUAUACUUAAAUACCAAGUAACUACAAUUUCACAUCACACGGAGUAAUAACAAAAGACCAAAUUGGCUAUUUAUUUGAUAUGGUAUGGGAAUCGGGUUCGAUUCCGGGUUGCGGUCUUUUCACGGUCCCAUUUAGUCUCUCUCACUCCCAUUUCCUUUCGGUCAGUCUCUACUGUCCUGUUCAUUAAAGGCAUAAAGAGCCACACCCACCCACCCAAAAUAUACUUUAAAAACCAUUAUCCUUACAUGUUACUCUAUCCCGAUUUACCUGAAGCACAGAGAGAUCAGGUAAAUCCCCGCUGAGGCCUUUGUACAGUGUGCUCCUUUGUGUAAAAACUUACGUUACUUGGAAGGUCAGGAAGCAAACAAAUUUCAAAUAAUAUUCACACAUUCCAAUACAUCUAAAAUAUGUGACUUACUUGACUCCCUCUGUUGUUGCUUGAGUCUUGGGUUUAGCAGAGAGUACAACCAUCCUGUCCACUGGGCCUGGCUUUAUACCCUGUUGGGCAUAUUGGGUUUCAGCAUAUCCCGAAAUCAGUUUGUAAAUACAGAUUUAAUAAUAAUAACAACUACAACCACAAUCAUAAUAAACAUUAUAAUCACCAAAGUUCUAGGCUUGUGCCAUUGUUGUUCUCCCUCAGUGCAGCUUAAGACAGGGGGAACUGCAGACAAAUUCAGCUGACUACAAUGUGCAGACUGAAACAACAAUGCAACACAGUAGUUGCAAAGUGCUGCUCCCGCAAUACAUGAGCAUCUAUGAUGUAUUAACUCCACAGGGUUUGAAUCUUUCAGGACCACCUGCAAAAUAAAGUUGUCUAAGUAAAUUCUCAGGCCUAUCUAGGCUUGAUCAUUCACUGGAUACUUUAUGAAAGAAAAAGCAUAGCAAGGAAGUAAGAGAGCAUUAACCCUGUGGGGAUCCAGCUAAAUAAACGUACCUGCCUGGCCACUGUUUCUACUACAUUUUAGUCACGCUAAACAUGUAUGAAGAAAACUACAGUACUGUAGGCCUAGAACUAAUACUUUAUUUCCAUGUACAAAAAUGUGCACUUCUACAGUAGUAGCUGAAUAUAAAACAUACGUUUGUGCUUGUGUUUUAUGUUCAUCAUCAUGGACCUUAACUGAACCCCCAAGAACGUUAACACUGGGUUACAACAGCAUAGUAGCGUAGCAUAAGAUAAAGAGACAGUAGACGUGAACAAAGUCCAGAAGGCCAGCGGGGACUGGCAGAGUAAAGUCAACAGCUAUUUUCAGCCAUUCAGUAGUUUAUGUACAGUGUUGAGCUGAACUUAACACUGGAUUGUGAAAGUCACGUAACAACAACAUAUCUUAUCUAAUGUUACCCCUAUCCCUAUAUCUUCACCAAACACUCAAACUGUGCGCUUUCUCCGAUUUCUUCAGGGACCUGUGACACUGUGCCCUGAUGAUUACCUCUCCUGACACCUGAUCUUUAUUAAAUACUGAGAAAAGCAGAAUCAAUCAAAUUAUUUUGACAUAGUACAACAGUUACAGCAAGUAAGUACCAGUAAAAUAAGCUAGCAGCUAGCUCUAGCAAAGAUGCUACCAUCAAAAACAACGUAGUAAUUACCCUAAUAAUUGUGGAUAUAGGAUGAAAUGUAAAAAAAUUGAAUCCUUUAUUCCUCUUGGAGUUUGGAGCCAUUGCACAGGAGUCGACAAUCCUGUGUACGUCACCGAUAUUCAGACGUGGAAGGUCUUGGAGGCAUCGGCUUAAAAUAAUGGAGGCUGAGUGAUGUUUCGCCGGAAGUGGAUGUGCCGAUUUCUGGUCAUGAUGCUGUGCACAGAGCGUAUUCGCAGUGUUAUGUUCUUUCCAACUUAAAAACCUGAUUUGGAAUAUUGAACACUCAAAACAUUCAGUUGACAUUGCUUAAAUCAUUGUUAAGUUG